UACCUGCAGCUCGAGUGGUAACCGCUAUUAUUGGGCCUAAAGCGUCCGUAGCCGGUUUGGUAAAUAUCUGGGUAAAUCGUGAGGCUUAACUUCACGAAUUUCGGAUAGACUGCCAGACUUGGGAUCGGGGGAGGUCAGAGGUACUCCAGGGGUAGCGGUGAAAUGUUGUAAUCCUUGGAGGACCACCGGUAGCGAAGGCGUCUGACUAGAACGAGUCCGACGGUGAGGGACGAAGCCCUGGGGCGCAAACCGGAUUAGAUACCCGGGUAGUCCAGGGUGUAAACGAUGUGGGCUUUGUAUUGGAGGUCCCACGUGGGCGUCCAGUGCAGAAGAGAAGUUGUUAAGCCCACCGCCUGGGAAGUACGGUCGCAAGGCUGAAACUUAAAGGAAUUGCGGGGGAGCACAGCAACGGGAGGAGCGUGCGGUUU
rnacentral:rRNA from 1 species